CUUAGUGGCGGACGGGUGAGUAACGCGUGGGGAACCUGCCCUGUACAGGGGGAUAACACUUAGAAAUAGGUGCUAAUACCGCAUAAGCGCACAGUAUCGCAUGAUACAGUGUGAAAAACUCCGGUGGUACAGGAUGGACCCGCGUCUGAUUAGCUGGUUGGCGGGGUAACGGCCCACCAAGGCGACGAUCAGUAACCGGCCUGAGAGGGUGAACGGCCACAUUGGGACUGAGACACGGCCCAAACUCCUACGGGAGGCAGCAG
rnacentral:rRNA from 1 species